GCUGGGCAUGGUGGUGCAUGCCUGUAAUCCUAGUAGCAUGGGAGGCUGAGGCAGGAGGAUUAUGAGUUCAAAGCCAGCCUCAGCAACUUAGUGAGGCCCUAAGCAACUUAGUGAGACCCUGUCUCUA
rnacentral:sRNA from 1 species